GCAAGGUAUUUCGUGCCGUUUGGAAACUGGUCGCACUAUUCAUUUUUGCAUCACGAAAAAGAAUUUUCGCAAAAAUUAAAUAAAAAGGCCAAAAUAACGUUCUUGAGGAGAUUAUUGAGCGUAAAGUUGUUCUCGGAUUGCUGCUGCUCACUAUUGCCAUUUAAAAUUUACCUAAAACCAGUGUUUUGUGUGUGGCGCCUCGAGAGGAGACGCUUCUGAUAAGCAGCCAUCUUCAUCUUCCUAUAGGAAUGCCUGCUACACACGGGCUAGAAAAUUGUUUGCUUACAUUUAUAAAUGCCAAAACAGUUGAAAGCUAAAGCCAGCGAUACUGACUCCGCCGUUGCACCUCCUCUCGCCACUAGGCAGUGCCAUCCACCCACAACUACAAUUCCACACAGACACAGACAUGUGCAGCGCGCAGCUAAUCUAUUGUAAAUAAAACUGCGUCCAUACACACGUCUAUUGUGAACGGUACACAUACUCGGUCACGUACGCCGCCGCCGCCAAGUGUUCCGUUCCUCCUGCCUGCUCCUCGUACCGUACAGUGUGCGGCUGUUUUACCUGGAAUUAACUUUGCUAAAAUCUGGAACAAAAUUUGCUACAAAUCAGUGGAGAAUCGGCCCACAGCAUGUGAAAAGGUGUCUACAAAGGGGACCAGAGUGCAUCAUCGGAGGAGAAGCGGUUCCAGGAUCGGAGAAGAAGCAGAAGCAGGAGAAAUUAGGAGAAAGAAGAGAAGACAGACAGAGCGAGAGCAGGGCUAUUAGCUCAAGUAAAUAUGUCUGACAUACCGCGCAUCAUGGUCUUCCGACCCACCUGGGAGGAGUUCAAAGACUUUCCCAAAUACGUAGCCUACAUGGAAUCACAGGGCGCCCACAAGGCCGGCCUGGCCAAGGUGGUGCCGCCAGCGGAGUGGAUACCGCGGCGCAGCGGCUAUGCCGAUCUGGAUGCCCUGAAUGUGACGAUUCCGGCGCCCAUCUGCCAGGUGGUGACGGGCAAACAGGGCUACUACCAACAGAUCAACAUACAGAAGAAGCCGCUGACGGUGAAACAGUUCAGCGACCUCGCCAGCACCGAGCGCUACGCCACACCGAAGCACUUCGACUACGAGGAUCUCGAGCGAAAGUACUGGAAGAACAUCACCUAUGUGGCGCCCAUCUAUGGGGCCGAUGUCAGUGGCAGCAUCACAGAUCCCGACCAGGAUAGUUGGAACAUCAACAGACUGGGCACGAUACUGGACUACGUGAACAAGGACUACAACAUCCAGAUAGACGGCGUGAACACCGCCUAUCUCUACUUUGGCAUGUGGAAGACAACGUUCGCGUGGCACACCGAGGACAUGGACCUCUAUUCGAUCAACUAUCUCCACUUUGGGGCAGCCAAGACGUGGUAUGUCGUGCCACCGGCGUAUGGCCGCCGGCUUGAGAAGGUGGCCAAUCAGUAUUUCCCGGCCAGUUACAAGAACUGCAAUGCGUAUCUGCGCCAUAAGAUGACGCUCAUAUCGCCGCAGAUCCUUAAGCAGCACAAUGUCCCCGUUAGCAAGAUCACCCAGGAGUCGGGCGAGAUCAUGAUCACCUUCCCGUUUGGCUACCACGCGGGCUUCAAUCACGGCUUCAACUGCGCCGAGUCCACAAACUUUGCCAUGGAGCGCUGGAUCGAAUACGGCAAGCGAGCGGUUCAGUGCACGUGCAGCAACGACAUGGUCAAGAUCUCCAUGGACACGUUCGUGAAGCGCUUCCAAAGCGACCGUUACGACAUGUGGAUGGAGGGCAAGGAUGUGGGCCGGCAUCCGGAGGAUCCCCUCGGCGGUACAACGGUCACAGCCGCACCGCUGCCGCCCCACCUCGAUGUCCUCCUGUGUGAUAAGAAAAUGAAGAAGCAAUGCAAUCCCACCAUAGCCAAGAGCUUUAAGGAGCGCAAUCCCGACCUGGAUCUCGACGAGAUCCAACAGAAUCCCAAUGUGCCCGACGACGUCAAGGCCAUGCUGAAGGAGAGCGUGCUUACCCUGGACACGGGCGAUCUGGGCAUCGAGGGCGAUUAUCCGAACGAGGAUGCUGUCAGUCUCCAAAGUCCUGCGGACUUCAAGACCAAGCAGGAGCUGCUAGAGUACAUGGACGAUGGGACAGAAGACGAUGACGAGGAGGAGGAAUUUAAGCGACGCAAGGCGAAGCGGCGGUACGAUGCGGACUACGACGAUGACUGGCUAGCCUCCCAUCACCGUCGCACCAACUCGCGGAACAGCAGCCGCGGCCGCAGUCCACGCACCAAGGACGAGCGCUCCGCGUCGCCGGCCUCCUCCACAUCCUCGACGUCGCGUGGUGGACGACGCGGAAAGGGCAAUUCGACGACCCGCAAAACGCCGUCCAAGCGAAAAAAGGACCCGUCCUCUGCAGUGUCUCCGGCUGCAGCAGCCUUAGUGGCAGCAACCACAAUUGCGACACCAAAUGCGGCGGCGGUUAGCAGCGAUGGAGAUGCCAAAAAGGAGCAGCAAUCGCUGGCCUUCAUGCAACAGCCGCGCAAGUUCGAGGGCAAAAUACCAAAACUAAGUCAGCCAGCAGCAGCAACAGCUCCAGCAGGCGGAGCAUCCACAUCCACAUCUAGUCAGGAUCAGCAGCAGCAGCAGCGGAUAUUCUACGUCAAUAUGUUGCCGGCAGCCAACACUCUCAAUGGCAUUCCACAGCAGCAGCCGCAACAGCAGCAGCAGUAUGGCAGCACCGAUGGAAACGUCUAUCAGCUGCAAAACGAAAUACUCUGUGAUGCAAAUGGACAGGCCGUAACGGCUGCCACAGCCACAUAUCAGACGACAGUCCCAAGCAGUCCCCAACAGCAACAGCAGCAAAAUGUUGCUGUUAGCGUGGCCAACAAUAACGCUGCCGCUACGAUAUAUCAGAGGCCGUGCUAUUAGCCCUUUAAACAAUCUGAACCGCCAUCGAAAGCUGCAGCCAAAGUACCAAAAAAAUCUAAUUUAAUCAAAUCAAAUGAAAACUAUAAACCCACUCUCGAUGAAACAAGAGAAAGCGCCAAGAGUGAUAGAUAUAGAAAAUGCCUCCUCGAGAGAAAAAGCAACGCAAAUGGAAGCCAAUUUUCAAUGUUUGCCGAGCUGGGCAACCAUCAAAAUACUUAUAUAUAAAGUAUAUACCCAUAAUACUCACUGUCUCAGCUCAUUGAUGCAUUCAUUCAACCAUUCGAUCUACCAAUCAAUCAAUCAUUCCGCCAUCAUCACUUGUUGUGCCUGUUCCUCUCUCUGUGUGUGUGUUUUGUGUGUAACAUCAGAAAAUCAAAAAAAGAUCCGAUCAUCAUGAAAUACUAUAAAGCUGUAUAAACGAUCCACAGCACAUUUAACCAAUAUAUAACAUAACAAAUUUAACACAUAAUCAAUUAAAAUUGGACAUUUAGUGCAAGUGGAAGCAACGCCAACGUCGGCUCUGGAGCUGCUAGCAACUGUGUCUCUGUGGUGAGUGGCAGCGG
rnacentral:misc_RNA from 1 species